GAAGGCCUCUUCACUGAGAAUAGAAUUGGGAGUGGCGAUAGCAGAAGGAACAAAAGAAAGCCGAUGUUUAUAGUGGGCACUGCUCUGAAGAACCAAGAGCGGUCUCCCUCCUCCUCCGCCUCCGCCUCCACCUUCACCACUGGUUACCAAAGAAAUGAAGUGAGGCUUCUCAUACAAGGGUAGGGGAAAAGAAAAAGAGGAUAAAGUGGGGGUUGCCGUGGUGGGAGUACAGAAUAUAGAUGAAACUCCAAUGGCUGAAGAAGCCAUUAGUAUGGGGAAAAGUCAGCCCGGGAUGGAAGAGAGGAAGUGAGUAUGGAGAAGAAAUGAGAAAGAGACUGAGAGGGAGGAUAAGAGCAGUGUGUCAGAGAAAGCUCUUCCCUUGAAAAUGUAAGGACUCCCGCAGGUCCACCUCGGUUGCUAUCCUGUUUUCUCCACUCCCAAUAUAUUUUGCCGUUUAAAGAAA
rnacentral:misc_RNA from 1 species